ACAAAGUCUUAAGGAAGGAGAUUAAAGCAACCAAGAAGCACUACGAAAGCUCUGCUCCUACUACCUGAGUUUUUGAGUUCUUAGCGGAUUUCAAGCUGCCAAUUUCUGAGCUUUCACAGCCUUUGAUGUGAUUCCAGCUUUCUAUGAUACAGGUUGUACUUCCUUAUGGGGCAUGCACACCUUUUAAGUCACAGUGGUAAACAAUGUCCUGAAGAAUCUGGGGGAGAUCCAGGAGCAGGAAGAUGAAGAAAGCUUCCUAUGGGUGCUAAGGAAGAAUGACCAUUCUGUGAUGGGGCUACGGGGAUGUGGACAUACAUCCCUUUUCGGUGACUGUCACGCGCUGCAAUGUAUCGUACCUCGAGCAGGAACUUGGCUAUUGUCCAAUGUAAAGAGUGGUUUUAUUUUGCAAUGCAGCGUAAUCCUAUAAAUUAAACUCUUAGA